rnacentral:rRNA from 1 species
UACGGGGGGGGCAAGCGUUGUUCGGAAUUACUGGGCGUAAAGGGCUCGUAGGCGGCCAACUAAGUCAGACGUGAAAUCCCUCGGCUUAACCGGGGAACUGCGUCUGAUACUGGAUGGCUUGAGGUUGGGAGAGGGAUGCGGAAUUCCAGGUGUAGCGGUGAAAUGCGUAGAUAUCUGGAGGAACACCGGUGGCGAAGGCGGCAUCCUGGACCGGUAUUGACGCUGAUGCGCGAAAGCCAGGGGAGCAAACGGG